GAUGAACGCUAGCGGCAGGCUUAAUACAUGCAAGUCGUGGGGCAGCAGGACUGUAGCAAUACUGUUGCUGGCGACCGGCAAACGGGUGCGGAACACGUACGCAACUUAUCCUGAACUGGGGGAUAGCCCGGGGAAACCCGCAGUAAUACCCCGUAAUAUACUGGAGUGGCAUCACUUUAUUAUUAAAGCUCCGGCGGUUCGGGAUGGGCGUGCGGCUGAUUGUGUAGUUGGUUGAGGUAACGGCUCACCAAGCCUACGAUCAGUAACUGGUGUGGGAGCACGGCCCGUCACGGGGGAACGGCGACACUGGCCCGACUCCUACGGGAGGCAGCAGUAAGGAAUAAGGGGCAAUGAAGGCUACUCUAACCGAGCCAUGCCGCGGGGAGGAUGAAGGGCGUCUGGGUUGUAAACUUCUUUUAUAGGGGACGAAACCUGUGUAUUCUUACGCAGUUGACGGUACCCUAGGAAUAAGCACCGGCUAACUACGUG
rnacentral:rRNA from 1 species